rnacentral:misc_RNA from 1 species
GUGAGUCAUCGAAUCUUUGAACGCACAUUGCGCCCGCCAGCAUUCUGGCGGGCAUGCCUGUUCGAGCGUCAUUUCAACCCUCAGGCCCUGCCUGGUGUUGGAGGACUGCGCAUGCAGCCUCCCAAAGCAAGCGGCGGCGGCGCCCCAAAACCGAACGCAGUAGUUACUUCUCGUUCUGGGUCUGGGUCGUUGUCCUGCCGGAAAACCCCCAUCUUUUUAAUGGUUGACCUCGAAUCAGGUAGGAAUACCCGCUGAACUUAAGCAUAUCAAUAAGCGGAGGA